CGAACGGGUGAGUAACACGUGGAUAACCUGCCUGAAAGUGGGGAAUAACUCAGGGAAACUUGGGCUAAUACCGCAUACGUCCACUCCGCGCAAGCGGUGUGAACAAAGGUGGCCUCUUCAUGAAAGCUGUCGCUUACAGAGGGAUCCACGCCUGAUUAGCUAGUUGGUGAGGUAAUAGCUCACCAAGGCAACGAUCAGUAGCCGGCCUGAGAGGGCGAUCGGCCACACUGGAACUGAGACACGGUCCAGACUCCUACGGGAGGCAGCAGUGGGGAAUAUUGGACAAUGGGCGAAAGCCUGAUCCAGCAACGCCGCGUGGAGGAUGAAUGCCUUCGGGUUGUAAACUCCUGUCAGGUGGGACGAAAAGACAUCGGUAAAUACCCGGUGUCCGUGACGGUACCACCGGAGGAAGCCCCGGCUAACUCCGUGCCAGCAGCCGCGGUAAUACGGAGGGGGCAAGCGUUAUUCGGAAUUAUUGGGCGUAAAGGGCGCGUAGGCGGCUUGGCAAGUCAGUGGUGAAAUCCCUCGGCUCAACCGAGGAACUGCCUCUGAAACUGUCUGGCUUGAGGCCGGGAGAGGGUAGUGGAAUUCCCAGUGUAGCGGUGAAAUGCGUAGAUAUUGGGAGGAACACCGGUGGCGAAAGCGGCUACCUGGACCGGUUCUGACGCUGAGCGCGAAAGUGUGGGGAGCAAACAGGAUUAGAUACCCUGG
rnacentral:rRNA from 1 species